GAUGAACGCUGGCGGCGUGCCUAAUACAUGCAAGUCGAGCGAACAGACGAGGAGCUUGCUCCUCUGACGUUAGCGGCGGACGGGUGAGUAACACGUGGAUAACCUACCUAUAAGACUGGGAUAACUUCGGGAAACCGGAGCUAAUACCGGACAAUAUAUUGAACCGCAUGGUUCAAUAGUGAAAGACGGUUUUGCUGUCACUUAUAGAUGGAUCCGCGCCGCAUUAGCUAGUUGGUAAGGUAACGGCUUACCAAGGCGACGAUGCGUAGCCGACCUGAGAGGGUGAUCGGCCACACUGGAACUGAGACACGGUCCAGACUCCUACGGGAGGCAGCAGUAGGGAAUCUUCCGCAAUGGGCGAAAGCCUGACGGAGCAACGCCGCGUGAGUGAUGAAGGUCUUCGGAUCGUAAAACUCUGUUAUUAGGGAAGAGCAAAUGUGUAAGUAACUAUGCACGUCUUGACGGUACCUAAUCAGAAAGCCACGGCUAACUACGUG
rnacentral:rRNA from 1 species